GCCUACGGCCAUAUCACGUUGAAAACGCCGGUUCUCGUCCGAUCACCGAAGUUAAGCAACGUCGAAUUUAGUCAGUACUUGGAUGGGUAACCGCCUGGGAACACCGAGUGCUGUAGGCU